UACAGCCAUAUCACAUUGAAACAUUGGUUCCCGUACAAUCACUGAAGCUAAGCAAUGCCAAGCCUGGUCAGUUCCUAGAUGGGUGACCGCUUGGUAAUACCAGGUGCAGUAAG